rnacentral:rRNA from 1 species
AAUAUUGCACAAUGGGCGAAAGCCUGAUGCAGCAACGCCGCGUGAGCGAUGAAGGCCUUCGGGUCGUAAAGCUCUGUCCUAAGGGAAGAAUAAUGACGGUACCUUAGGAGGAAGCCCCGGCUAACUACGUGCCAGCAGCCGCGGUAAUACGUAGGGGGCAAGCGUUAUCCGGAAUCACUGGGCGUAAAGGGAGCGUAGGCGGCUUUUCAAGUCAGAGGUGAAAGGCUACGGCUCAACCGUAGUAAGCCUUUGAAACUGUAAAGCUUGAGUGCAGGAGAGGAGAGUGGAAUUCCUAGUGUAGCGGUGAAAUGCGUAGAUAUUAGGAGGAACACCAGUGGCGAAGGCGACUACCUGGACUGAUACUGACACUGAGGUGCGAAAGCGUGGGGAGCAAAC